rnacentral:rRNA from 1 species
UACGUAGGGGGGCAAGCGUUGUCCGGAGUUACUGGGCGUAAAGCGCACGCAGGCGGUCUGCUAAGUUUGGAGUGACAGUUGGUGGCUCAACCACCAAAGUGCUUUGAAAACUGACAGACUUGAGGGCUUCAGAGGGACACGGAAUUCCGGGUGGAGUGGUGAAAUGCGUAGAGAUCCGGAGGAACACCGAAGGCGAAGGCAGUGUCCUGGGGAGUACCUGACGCUCAGGUGCGAAAGCUAGGGGAGCGAACGGG